CUAUGACGACAUACGUGUACGAAAUUCACUCCAAAAUGGCCUAUCGUCUCGUAUAGUUGGAAAAGAAGCAUGGUGAAGCACCGUGGGACGAAAAGCUAAAAAUUAGCGAAAUAUAAAAAAAUUCUGUAAUGCCAUUUUUUUGGAAAAUGCGAAAACGUCGUACUCUUCGGUAAAAUGUUUUUGGCAUUACAGAAUUUUUUUAUUUUUUGUAUAAUGAAAGUUUUUAGCGGUGCAAUACAGCAUGCAAAAUUUGAACAUAUAGGUCACCAGACAAAAUAGAGAGAUAUAGCGCAUUGCUUCUCUAAAACGGAAAAUUCUAAUGACGUCAGC